rnacentral:rRNA from 1 species
GUCCACGCCCUAAACGAUGCUGACUAGUUGUUCGGGAUUUACAUCCUGAGUAACGUAGCUAACGCGUGAAGUCAGCCGCCUGGGGAGUACGGUCGCAAGAUUAAAACUCAAAGGAAUUGACGGGGACCCGCACAAGCGGUGGAUGAUGUGGAUUAAUUCGAUGCAACGCGAAAACCUUACCUACCCUUGACAUGUGACUAACGAAGUAGAGAUACAUUAGGUGCUCGUAAGAGAAAGUCAACACAGGUGCUGCAUGGCUGUCGU